rnacentral:lncRNA from 10 species
ACAACAAGUUUGGUUGUCUCAUAUUCUCUCCAGUUCCUUAGGCCAGCUCAAGUUUUAUCAGUAUCUUUUGGACCCAAUGAGUCCUUCCUGGCCUCACUCCAGAAGAAGACUGGCCUCAGUCCAGAGAAACAAAAAAUGUGAAAUUCACCCACUGGAACUCUCCUUCUCCAAGUAUCAGUCUCCUUCCAGAAUUUCCGGCUUCUGGUCUCUUUUCAAGGAAUUUAGAAGUUUCCCAAAUGGCUCUUCAGAUAAUUAAUAUAGUGGAACUUGUACAUGGGAUAGGAAACCAAGUUCCUAAGCAAGUAUGACUGGCUUGAGUAUCACCCUAAACCAAGUUCCCCUAUAUUCUCACCAGUAACUAAAAGCAUAGUGUCCAGAAUGAAUCUAAGUAGAAGAAGGGAAGACGAGAAGGACACAAGAAGGA